UUGAUAUUCUCAUCUUUCUUCUUCAAAUAUAACAUUCGGAUUCUUUUCUUCACAUAGAAUCCCUAUUUUCUAUUAUUGCUUCGAAUUCUUAUUGAAUUCAUAGUUCUGGUAAUAACAGGUUCCACCUUCUCAGCGCAUUUUCCCCGUGUCAGAAUCUUCAUUAGGGUUUGUGAAAGAAUCAUGUCGCUGGAGACACCAUGUCGUGAUUCAAGCUCUGUCGUCACGAGGCCCGCUCAUGGAGAAGGACUUGCACUCCAUGUUUGAAGAACUCACCAAGAGAAACCCAGGGCUUUUGGAAAACAACAGAUUGAAGCAAUAGUACAAGAUGCCUCUGCAAACGGUGUUAGCUCCAGCAUUCGUGCUCUCAAUCUUAGUUUGGAUGGUCAGGUUUAUGCCAUUUGGAAAAUGCAUGCAUUGAGGCACUAUUCUCUUUCUUGUUCCUUGUUCUGAAGUCCAAUAAAACGGUAGACAGGUAUAGACUCAAACUUGAACUUUGGUGCAAACCUAUUGUUAUAAAAAGCUUAUGUUCAACUUCAUGAAUUUGCAUGCAUAUAUAUUUUAAAGUUUGAAUUCAUGCAAUACAAACUCCAUUAUUAUGAAGAGCCUUCCUCCGAACUUGUUGUUUUGGUCGCAUAUUUUAGGCCUUUUUCUAAGAAUCUAAAUCAUCGAAGACCAUUUGCAUUACAGUUCUUAUGGAUUACAUUUUAAAUUUCCAUCAAAACCUAUAGUAGAUACAUCAUCUCUGUGAUGUAAAACCAAAUAGAUUCUGUGAUGCAAGUCUUUUAUCUUAAUAUAUAAUCAUUAAUUUCUUACAAUUUCAUUGUUUGACUCAAGCUAAGUUAUACCUUCUCACCUAAACACAUCCAAAAUUCAAUAUGCAUGUCGUUUGAUCCAACUAGUUUACCAUUUUUCAUCAUCUUUAGCGCUUAUUUUACCUGUUUGUAUAGUUUUGUUGCAAUGAAAUUUAUAAGCUUGGUCAUUUUUUCUAGUGGUUAAACUCUCUAAUGACUGUUGUUUCUGUUUUUUUUUAUUUUUUAUUCUUUUUUUGUUAGAGUAUUGAAAACACUAGUCAUAUUUUUCUAGUGUAUUAUAUGAUUUGCAGUCCACCCUCCCCCAAACCACCACUACCACCACAAAAAAGUAAAAAAAAGAAAAAUAACAACUGUCUAUAUCUAUAUACACAGUUGGAGAAUAAGGUUGCAGUUGCGUCAGAUCCACAAUCUCAAGGAGGCCAGCCAAAUGUCCCAUCAUCAUUGAAGAAUUUCAGUUUGUCUCAAAAGGAAAAACCCUGCAAGAACUAGUGCGGGACCAGUGGCUUAACUUAACAACAGAUGGUAUUAUUAAACUUGGUUUGAACUUUGAAGUCAUUCCUUGAUCUUCGUAGUUGGUUCUGGAACAAUGAUGUUACAUCCUGUCAUGUAUGCAAUGAAGGCAGAGUUAUGCCAAAAUGAAAACUGUACUGUACGGAUUCAUCAGUACUGCCUGAAGCAACUUUUCUUGCAGAGAAAGGUUGCAAAAGUUUGCCCAACUUGUGGCUGGCACUGGAUGGCCAUAUACGGUACCCAAGGCAGAGGCCGUGCAGACUGAAGAUGACAAUGAACCUAGAGGAAGCCAACAAGUGACUAGUUCUGAACGAAAGAGGCAUAGAGCCAAUAGAAUAGGGUUGUUGAUGAUGUUGGAUGCAGCAAUCAGGAUGAGCUGAAUGAUGGUAGAGAAAGCCAGCAUGGUAAUGAAUUGGUACGGAAAAGGGGCAGAGCACGCAGAACUGAGGAUGCAGAUAUAGGAGGUUCUGGUGCAUUUCAAUCUUUGGCAGCUAUUUCUGGUUCGAGAAGAGUAACUAGAAACUCUGCUCGUCUGAUGUAAAUCAACAACGGUGCCCUUCUUUUACUGCUGCUAGGUAUAUUUUGCUGCUGACUGUUGUAAUUUAUGCUGAACUUUUGUGGAUAUGUGAAUGGGUUCUUUAGUAAUGCAGUUAGCUAGUUUUAGUGACUAUUUUUAAUCAGCAAUCUUAUUAUGUUAGGUUGACCUGUGGCUUGAAACGCCAACCUUCUAGUACAGAAUACCUACAUGUAAAUUUGUGUUAGUGCCAAAGUAUCAUAUUAGAGUCAUGUUGAGGUAGUGGCAUUAUUAUUUUGCUCAGCUUUGAUAUUUAAUUGUUUUUUUAUAACCGUGUUUCGAUAUUUAAUU